rnacentral:rRNA from 1 species
AUUGAACGCUGGCGGCAUGCCUUACACAUGCAAGUCGAACGGCAGCAUGAUCUAGCUUGCUCGAUUGAUGGCGAGUGGCGCACGGGUGAGUAAUACAUCGGAACGUGCCCUGUAGUGGGGGAUAACUAGUCGAAGGAUUAGCUAAUACCGCAUACGACCUGAGGGUGAAAGUGGGGGACCGCAAGGCCUCAUGCUAUAGGAGCGGCCGAUGUCUGAUUAGCUAGUUGGUGAGGUAAAGGCUCACCAAGGCGACGAUCAGUAGCUGGUCUGAGAGGACGAUCAGCCACACUGGGACUGAGACACGGCCCAGACUCCUACGGGAGGCAGCAGUGGGGAAUUUUGGACAAUGGGCGAAAGCCUGAUCCAGCAAUGCCGCGUGUGUGAAGAAGGCCUUCGGGUUGUAAAGCACUUUUGUCCGGAAAGAAAUGGCUCUGGUUAAUACCUGGGGUCGAUGACGGUACCGGAAGAAUAAGGACCGGCUAACUACGUG